AGAACAGCACAGACUGCGUUCCAUUUGAAGAGGGGCUUGUGGAGCAACAGGAGGAGGAACAACCAAAGUCUCUGCUGGAGAUGCAUCGGGACAAGAUGGUAAAAGAGAAGAAGGAGAAGAAGAAGA